UCAGGAUGAACGCUAGCUACAGGCUUAACACAUGCAAGUCGAGGGGUAGCAGGGUCUAGCAAUAGAUCGCUGACGACCGGCGCACGGGUGAGUAACACGUAUCCAACCUUCCGUUUACUCGGGGAUAGCCUUUCGAGAGAAAGAUUAAUACCCGAUAGUAUGUUUUUCCCGCAUGGGAGAACCAUUAAAGUUUUUCGGUAAUCGAUGGGGAUGCGUUCCAUUAGGCAGUUGGUGAGGUAACGGCUCACCAAACCUUCGAUGGAUAGGGGUUCUGAGAGGAAGGUCCCCCACAUUGGAACUGAGACACGGUCCAAACUCCUACGGGAGGCAGCAGUGAGGAAUAUUGGUCAAUGGACGAGAGUCUGAACCAGCCAAGUAGCGUGAAGGAUGACUGCCCUAUGGGUUGUAAACUUCUUUUAUAUGGGAAUAAAGGAGCCUACGUGUAGGUUUUUGUAUGUACCAUACGAAUAAGGAUCGGCUAACUCCGUGCCAGCAGCUGC
rnacentral:rRNA from 1 species